GUCUUCCUAGGUCUUGUCUUGUGCCCUUCUUGUAGAUCAGUAUAACAUCGGCUAGUUUCCAGUCAGCAAGGAAAGCCUUUUUUAUUUUCUGACACCACACUGGCCACUGUCAUCUCAGGCUGAGCUUUGUUUUCUUCUUGUUUUCUCCCUGCAAAUGUGAACUGCACUCUCUCUGUGAAGCCUGACCUUGUUUCCAAAGAUCAUACAUUUUAUUUUUCUGCCCUAGUUUCAGGAGGUGUUCCCUGUUCAGCCAGGCUGGUCUUCUGCCCUGCUUGCUUGACUCGUGACACAAUGGAAUUGCCAUUACAUUAUGGAUUGCAUUAGUAAAUAUUUCACUAUUUCAUUAUAUUUCUUCAUUUUAAAGCCUGAUUCUUUCUUUCCUCUGUAGAAAAUGAGGAUUCUUUCUUUCCUCUGUCUCUAAAUGGGCAUUAUCUAGUGAGACUUUGCAGUCAUUUGGUUGAUAUGCCAUGGAGUAGGUCAAAGAGCAGGGCUCAGUCACAUCUACAUAGUGUUUACACUAGACUAACUUCUCUAACUUCUCAAUGAGACAUGUAAUGUUAGAGUGGUUGCCUCUGCUUUGAAACUAGCUUCAGAUCCUUUCUGGUUUGUCAUAGACACUUUCCUUUCUGACUCUUGUAAAGACAGAUCUCAAAUGCUGCUUCUUUGUAGACACGGACUGCUCCUAUCUGGAUUUGCUUAUACAGUGCACUGUGAGACUCAUAAGAUUGGAUUUAGGAAUCUAUACCUUUCCAAAGAUUUCAGUUGUGAAGACUUCUUUGUGGGUCUGAUGUAUGCUUGUAAUCACCUUGAAUGUCCCCAGAAUACAUAACAAGAGGAAGCUCAAAAUGAACCGCUGUGAGAGGAAUCCAGCAGCUGCCCCAUGUUAGGUAAGGGCCAGUUUCAGCUGGCUCCAAAGGGAACUGCUGCUGCCCAGAGCUGAGCUGAUAAACAAUGUUGUUUGCACCUCUGUGAGAACAGAUCUAAGAAAGGGAAAACAAAACAAAACAAAAAAACUGCUGCAAAACAACAGCUGGGAGAGUGAGAAGUGAGAAGCAGCCCUGCAGCCCCCAGGUGAGUGCAGCAGGAGGGCAGGAGGUGCUGCAGGCAGGCAGCAGCAGUUCCCCUGCGGGCUGUGCAGGGAGAGGCCCCUGGUGGAGCAGGCUGUCCCCCUGCAGCCCAUGGGUCCCCCAUGGAGCAGAUCUCCAUGCUGAAGCCCCCCCCAUGGGUGGAGGAGCCCCCGGUGGAGCAGGUGGAUGUGGCCUGGAGGAGGCUGCGGCCCAUGGAGAGCCCCCGCAGGAGCAGGCCCCGGGCUGGAGCUGCAGCCUGUAAUACACAAUAAAUGUUUGUUCAUUGUCUUUUGUAUUAUAAAA
rnacentral:lncRNA from 1 species